CCAAUCAAGACCAGAACUGUCCAGCUAAGGCCAGUCUAAAGCCAACUCAGACUUGUGAGCAAAAUAAAUGCUCAUUAGUCAUUGAGUUUUGGGAUGGUUUCUUACAGAACAUUACAGUGGCAAUAGUUAACUGAAGAUAAAACUCCCUUCAGUGAUGGACACCACCACUUCCCCACUGAGAUGGUUCAAGUCUAACUCCUGUUGCCAUCUGAGGGAACAAGCACAUUGCAGAAUUAAGUAGCAGAGGUUUUCUAGACUUAACAUGUAAUUUAAUUAAAUCCAAAUGUAUUGAGCACCUAUUAGAGACACUACAGCGAAUUAAAAAGGAAUAUGGCCACUGCCUACCUAGAAGUUUAUGCUGUCUAGCAGAGGAGCCAAGACCACAGGUAAAUAUGAGCACUGCUGAAGCAGAAGUGGAGAAUGGAAGCAGGAGGUCAGGAUCACUUCUAGCCAAAUGUCAACUGGGAGUCAGAGAACUUCUAUCUAGAUUCUGAUUUUUAGAAACUUACUGCUGGUUCAUUUGUUCAGAGAGGUCUCUUCACACCUCUCUUCCACUCCUACCUCCCCCUGCUAAAAUCCACUGACUGAAGAACACUUAGUAUGGAUCCACAUGGAACCAAAAGCCCCAAGUGAAUGGAGUCACAUGCAUCAGCACAGUGGCUACCGGUUUCAUCUGCUCACCCAGCCUCAUGUAUUUAGGGACUAAAUUCAAGCUAGAAGCACCCAACACUUUUGUCUUUUGGAAUCUAAUCAAAGUGCCAAUGUACAUCUAAAA
rnacentral:antisense_RNA from 1 species